rnacentral:rRNA from 1 species
AUUGAACGCUGGCGGCGCGCCUAACACAUGCAAGUCGAACGGGGUUGUUACUCACACCGAGAUCACAGGGAUGUGAUUUGGGUGUGGGUAACAACCUAGUGGCGGACGGGUGAGUAACACGUGAGCAACCUGCCUUUCAGAGGGGGAUAACGUUGGGAAACUAACGCUAAUACCGCAUAACAUAUUGGAGCCGCAUGGUUUUGAUAUCAAAGGUGCAAUCCGCUGAGAGAUGGGCUCGCGCCCGAUUAGGUAGUUGGUGGGGUAAAGGCCUACCAAGCCGACGAUCGGUAGCCGGACUGAGAGGUUGAUCGGCCACAUUGGGACUGAGACACGGCCCAGACUCCUACGGGAGGCAGCAGUGGGGGAUAUUGCACAAUGGGGGAAACCCUGAUGCAGCGACGCCGCGUGAGUGAAGACGGUCUUCGGAUUGUAAAGCUCUGUCUUCGGGGACGAAAAUGACGGUACCCGAGGAGGAAGUCACGGCUAACUACGUGCCAGCAGCCGCAGUAACAC